GACAGAGGGUGCAAACGUUGUUCGGAAUUACUGGGCGUAAAGCGCGUGUAGGCGGCUUGGUAAGUCCGUUCUGAAAGCCCGGGGCUCAACCCCGGGAGGCGGAUGGAUACUGUCAAGCUUGAGUCCGGAAGAGGCGAGUGGAAUUCCCGGUGUAGCGGUGAAAUGCGCAGAUAUCGGGAGGAACACCAAUGGCGAAGGCAGCUCGCUGGGACGUGACUGACGCUGAGACGCGAAAGCGUGGGGAGCGAACAGG
rnacentral:rRNA from 1 species